CGCCCAAUAUCGAAUCAGGCGAUGCUAAGUCCGUGAAGCCGUUCCGGACCCUUCGGGGAAUGGAAAGUGGUGGAGCCGACGAACCAGACUUGUAGUAGGUAAGCGAU
rnacentral:rRNA from 1 species